rnacentral:rRNA from 1 species
UACUACCGAAGCUACGGCAUCAGUAAUGAUGGGUAGGGGAGCUUCCCAUACGGGUUGAAGCAUGACCGUAAGGACAUGUGGACAGUAUGGGAGUGAGAAUGUUGGCAUGAGUAGCGAGAUGUGGGUGAGAAUCCCACAGGCCGUAAACCCAAGGUUUCCAGGGGAAGGUUCGUCCGCCCUGGGUUAGUCGGGACCUAAGCUGAGGCCGAAAGGCGUAGGUGAUGGACAACAGGUUGAUAUUCCUGUACUACCGAUAACCGUUUGAGAGAAGGGAUGACACAGUAGGAUAAGCUAAGCACACUGUUGGUUAUGUGUGCCCAAGCAUUGAGGCAGUCAAAGUAGGUAAAUCCGCUUUGAUAAUGCUGGGAUGUGAUGGGGAGCGAAAUUUAGUAGCGAAGUAGCUGAUUUCACACUGUCAAGAAAAGUCUCUAUCGAGGUUAAAGGUACCCGUACCGCAAACCGACACAGGUGGGUGAGGAGAGUAUCCUAAGGCCAGCGAGAGAACUGUUGUUAAGGAACUCGGCAAAAUGACCCCGUAACUUAGGGAUAAGGGGUGCCACCAUCAGGUGGCCGCAGAGAAUAGGCCCAAGCGACUGUUUACCAAAAACAUAGGUUUCUGCUAAGUCGCAAGACGAUGUAUAGGAGCUGACGCCUGCCCGGUGCUGGAAGGUUAAGGGGAUCUGUUAGAGCAAUCGAAGCAGUGAACUUAAGCCCCAGUAAACGGCGGCCGUAACUAUAACGGUCCUAAGGUAGCGAAAUUCCUUGUCGGGUAAGUUCCGACCCGCACGAAAGGCGUAACGAUUUGGGCACUGUCUCAACAACAGACUCGGUGAAAUUGUAAUUCCGGUGAAGAUGCCGGAUACCUGCGACAGGACGGAAAGACCCCAUGGAGCUUUACUGUAGCUUGACAUUGGGUCUUGGUACUACAUGUACAGGAUAGGUGGGAGGCUUUGAAACCAGGACGCCAGUUUUGGCGGAGCCAUCCUUGGGAUACCACCCUUGUAGUACUGGGACUCUAACCAUAGGCCAUGAAUCUGGUCUUGGGACACUGUCAGGUGGGCAGUUUGACUGGGGCGGUCGCCUCCCAAAAGG